AUUGAACGCUGGCGGCAUGCCUUACACAUGCAAGUCGAACGGUAACGCGGGGCAAUCUGGCGACGAGUGGCGAACGGGUGAGUAAUGCAUCGGAACGUGCCCAGUAGUGGGGGAUAGCCCGGCGAAAGCCGGAUUAAUACCGCAUACGACCUACGGGUGAAAGGGGGGGAUCGCAAGACCUCCUGCUAUUGGAGCGGCCGAUGUCAGAUUAGGUAGUUGGUGGGGUAAAGGCCCACCAAGCCUUCGAUCUGUAGCUGGUCUGAGAGGACGACCAGCCACACUGGGACUGAGACACGGCCCAGACUCCUACGGGAGGCAGCAGUGGGGAAUUUUGGACAAUGGGCGCAAGCCUGAUCCAGCCAUGCCGCGUGCGGGAAGAAGGCCUUCGGGUUGUAAACCGCUUUUGUCAGGGAAGAAACGCUCUGGGCUAAUACCUCGGGGUAAUGACGGUACCUGAAGAAUAAGCACCGGCUAACUACGUGCCAGCCGCCGCAGUAA
rnacentral:rRNA from 1 species